CCUACGGGUGGCAGCAGUGGGGAAUAUUGGGCAAUGGAGGAAACUCUGACCCAGCAACGCCGCGUGAAUGAUGAAGGUCUUCGGAUUGUAAAGUUCUUUUCUCAGGGACGAAGAAAGUGACGGUACCUUAGGAAUAAGCCUCGGCUAACUACGUGCCAGCAGCCGCGGUAAUACGUAGGAGGCGAGCGUUAUCCGGAUUGACUGGGCGUAAAGGGUGCGUAGGUGGGUCGGCAAGUUAGUAGCGUAACUCCAAGGCUCAACCUUGGAACUACAUGUGAAACUGUUGGACUUGAGUGCAGGGGGGGCAACCGGAAUUCCUAGUGGAGCGGUGGAAUGCGUAGAUAUUAGGAGGAACACCAGUGGCGAAGGCGGGUUGCUAGACUGUAACUGACACUGAGGCACGAAAGCGUGGGGAGCAAACAGGAUUAGAUACCCGGGUAGUC
rnacentral:rRNA from 1 species